AGGAAGUUCUUUCCUUUAUUAUUUUAUGAUGAUUGUGAGUGCAUUUGGCUCGAGAUGCCGUUUAUUCGGUGUUGAUGUGGAAAAACUCAAGCUACCUAAUUUUUACUUUUGGCUGAUU
rnacentral:snoRNA from 1 species